AUAUUUCAGCAUCACAUAUAUUAAAACUGGAACAACACAAAGAAAAUUUAUAUGAUUCCUAUGUAAGGAUGAUAUGGAAAUUAAUGAAGCAUUCCAUAUUUUU